UACGAAGGGGGCUAGCGUUGCUCGGAAUCACUGGGCGUAAAGCGCACGUAGGCGGAUUGCUAAGUCAGGGGUGAAAUCCUGGAGCUCAACUCCAGAACUGCCUUUGAUACUGGCGGUCUCGAGUCCGGGAGAGGGUGAGUGGAACUGCGAGUGUAGAGGUGAAAUUCGUAGAUAUUCGCAAGAACACCAGUGGCGAAGGCGGCUCACUGGCCCGGUACUGACGCUGAGGUGCGAAAGCCAGGGGAGCAAACGGG
rnacentral:rRNA from 1 species